rnacentral:rRNA from 1 species
AUGAGCGCCUUGAUCAGGAAUCUCCGCCCCGCGCUGUCCGGGCUACUGCGGUCCAAGCCCGCUAUCCGAACGCCUCUUCCACUGCCGUCGUCGACCGCCCCGCGCCCGCGCUGCUACCACGCGCCGUCGACGCGGCGAUCUCACGAGGUCCUGCAAUCGGCCGGCCUUGGCCGCCUCUUCCAACGUGACUUUCUCGUGCGUCGACCACCGCCGUCGUCGCCGCAUGCGCCAGUGGUCCCACUCCCACGCCCACGGCACUACUCCUCCAGCCGGCCAAGAAGUUCCAGCGACGUGAAAUCCCAGAUAGUCUUCGCGGGGGUCGUCAUCAUCGUCGGCGGCGCGGUCACCAUCUGCUACGGCACCUUCGAGACCGUGCCCUACACCAACCGCCGCCACUUCGUCGUCCUCACGCACUCGGGAGAGCUCAAGCUCGGCGACUGGAUCUUCACCGGGGAGAAGAAGAAGCUGGGCGACAAGGUCCUCCCUCCGUCCCACCCUGCUUUUGUCCGUGUCCACGGCAUCGCCUCCGAGAUCAUCCGCGCCGCCGGACGCAGCCUCGCCGUCCACGAUGACGAUAAGCUCCUUGACGGCGAAAUAUGGGUCGGCGACGCGGCGCCGAGCCCCAAGAAGAAGGCUCGCUGGGGAGCGCCGCAGCAGCCGACGACCAAGCACCUCGACGGGUUCAAGUGGGAGGUGAUCGUCGUCAACAAUAAGCAGGUGAACGCCAUGUGCGCGCCCGGUGGCAAGAUCAUAGUCUACACCGGGCUGCUCGACAAGUUCAGCACCGACGCUGAGAUCGCCGCAGUGCUAGGGCACGAGGUUGCGCACGCCAUUGCAAGGCACACCGCAGAGGGGCUCACCAAGCACAUGUGGAUUCUCAUGCUCACGGUUUUCCUGGGCAUCUUUAUCGAUGAGCCAAAGAUGAUUGAUAAGCUCGCCAAAUACCUCCUCAGCCUGCCCUUCUCACGAAAGAUGGAGAUAGAGGCAGAUCACAUUGGAAUCCUGCUGCUCGCUGCCGCUGGUUUCGAUCCACGCAUAGCCCCUAAGGUCCACGAGAAGCUCGGAGAGCUCGGCGGGAAUUCAUCAUCGUUCAAGGAGUACAUGUCUACUCAUCCUUGCAGCAAGAAAAGAACGCGGCUUUUACUGGAUUCCAAGGUCAUGGACAAGGCCAUGGCGUUAUAUACAGAAGCAAGAGCGAGAAAAGAAGAAAUUGAUCAAUGA